rnacentral:lncRNA from 1 species
CUGAUAAUGCCUUUAUUGUGAGCAAACGACACAGUUGACUGCUUGGUUAUCUUUAUACGGAGGACAUGAUAAAGAGCCGCACCUAGUGCUGGUGAAAUAAAGAGAACGGCCACUUUUGUUUUCCUGUCCACCAGAAACAUAUUCAGGCUGUUUGUCUACGCAGAUAUAGGACGAUGCACUAUGACCAAAAUGAUCUGAGGCUAGCAAACCGUUAUAUUCUUUUUUCCACCCUUGGUAGCAAUUUUCUCGUCCAGGAAUCAUGAUAGAUGUAUGUGUAUUUACGCUUUUGCAAACUGCACACGGAAUGUCUUCGUUAAUUGCAUCUGUUCGCAAUGUUCUUUCUUCAUAUUCGGUACCAUAAAGAUGA